UUCAGCAGUCAUGUCACAACUGGCAACCCACUGAAGCUAAGCAGGUGUGAGCCUCAUCAGUAACUGGAUGGGAGACCUCAUGGUAAAAACUGAGGUUGCUGCUGGAA
rnacentral:rRNA from 1 species